ACAUGGUAUAGCAGCUCACCAGCAUCGCUUCGCUAGACUUUAUGUUGGCACGACAGGAACUGGUGACGGCAGUGCGACUCUGUCGGGUUGGACCAGUUUUGAAGGAACCCAAGGCAACGCCACAUAGGGAGCCACUUCGCAGGGGGAGACUCUGAGGUCGGAACUGGAUACCGGACCUCGGCGCAGAGCCAGCCAUACGCCUGUCCAAGUCGAGUUGUUCCGCAGCGCGCGGAUAACGUUUCACCGCUGACGCGUUCCGCGGUGUCGGCUGCGGCCCGGAGGAUACAUUACCGCUGUACGGACAGGACAGCACGACUGGAAAUACCACUGCGGAGCCUGGCAGUGCGGAUACCAUAGGGUAGCGAGAGGGGCAGCGGACACAGCCGAGGAACGAUACUUUCCGGUCUGCUCCGGACCAGCAGCUGCAGGAGGACACAGUCGUGUGUUGGUGUGACGACUAGUAGGUCUGUUUCUGUCACAUAGAGUACUACACGUUAGACUGUCGCAGGCAGGACACAGCCCGACCUGUACUUGGCGAA